AGUGAACGCUGGCGGCAGGCCUAAUACAUGCAAGUCGAACGGCAGCACAGCAGAGCUUGCUCUGUGGGUGGCGAGUGGCGGACGGGUGAGGAAUACAUGGGAAUCUGCCCAGUCGUGGGGGAUAACGUAGGGAAACUUACGCUAAUACCGCAUGCGCCCUUCGGGGGAAAGCCGGGGACCUUCGGGCCUGGCGCGAUUGGAUGAGCCCAUGUCGGAUUAGCUAGUUGGCGGGGUAAUGGCCCACCAAGGCGACGAUCCGUAGCUGGUCUGAGAGGAUGAUCAGCCACACUGGAACUGAGACACGGUCCAGACUCCUACGGGAGGCAGCAGUAGGGAAUAUUGGACAAUGGGCGCAAGCCUGAUCCAGCCAUGCCGCGUGAGUGAAGAAGGCCCUCGGGUUGUAAAGUUCUUUUGUCCGGAAAGAAAAGCAUCCAGUUAAUACCUGGGUGUCCUGACGGUACCGGAAGAAUAAGCACCGGCUAACUUCGUGCCAGCAGCCGCGGUAAGAC
rnacentral:rRNA from 1 species